rnacentral:lncRNA from 1 species
AUGGCGAAAGGCAAACGUAAGAAUCCUACUAACAGAAAUCAAGACCACUCACCAUCAUCAGAACGCAGCACUCCCACCCCACCUAGUCCUGGGCACCCCAACACAACCGAAAAUCUAGACCCAGAUUUAAAAACAUUUCUCAUGAUGAUGAUAGAGGACAUCAAGAAGGACAUUCAUAAGUCACUUAAAGAAUUACAGGAGAGCACUGCUAAAGAGUUACAGGCCCUUAAAGAAAAGCAGGAAAACACAGCCAAACAGGUAGAAAUCAUUAAAGAAAAACAGGAAAACA